rnacentral:rRNA from 1 species
GAUGAACGCUGGCGGCGUGCCUAAUACAUGCAAGUCGAGCGAACGGACGAGAAGCUUGCUUCUCUGAUGUUAGCGGCGGACGGGUGAGUAACACGUGGAUAACCUACCUAUAAGACUGGGAUAACUUCGGGAAACCGGAGCUAAUACCGGAUAAUAUUUUGAACCGCAUGGUUCAAAAGUGAAAGACGGUCUUGCUGUCACUUAUAGAUGGAUCCGCGCUGCAUUAGCUAGUUGGUAAGGUAACGGCUUACCAAGGCAACGAUGCAUAGCCGACCUGAGAGGGUGAUCGGCCACACUGGAACUGAGACACGGUCCAGACUCCUACGGGAGGCAGCAGUAGGGAAUCUUCCGCAAUGGGCGAAAGCCUGACGAAGCAACGCCGCGUGAGUGAUGAAGGUCUUCGGAUCGUAAAACGCUGUUAUUAGGGAAGAACAUAUGUGUAAGUAACUGUGCACAUCUGGACGGUACCUAAUCAGAAAGCCACGGCUAACUACGU